rnacentral:rRNA from 1 species
UACGUAGGGUGCAAGCGUUAUCCGGAAUUAUUGGGCGUAAAGAGCUCGUAGGCGGUUUGUCGCGUCUGCUGUGAAAACUGGAGGCUCAACCUCCAGCCUGCAGUGGGUACGGGCAGACUAGAGUGCGGUAGGGGAGAUUGGAAUUCCUGGUGUAGCGGUGGAAUGCGCAGAUAUCAGGAGGAACACCGGUGGCGAAGGCGGGUCUCUGGGCCGAAACUGACGCUGAGGAGCGAAAGCGUGGGGAGCGAACAGG